rnacentral:lncRNA from 1 species
UUGGAUUGACACAUUAUGCAAGCCAAGUUUUCUACAAUGCAUUAUUCUACUCAUGUUCUUUACUAUCAUUUCAGUAAUUUUCUGUGAUAAUCUUCCCUUUUAAAUACGAAGUGAUGUACAGUGUAGCCUGGCUUGACAUAGCAGGCCUUGAGUGGACAGAAGAUGUGGCUGUAGACAGAAGAUGCGGACAGAGUGGACACAAAAAAAGUGGACAGAAGAUGCUUGGACAGAAGUGGUCAGAAGAUGCGGCUGCUUCAGCAAGCAUGAGCUGAAAAGCACUACUUUGGAGGUGAUGAAGUGAGUGAGACUCGCAAUCACUCUUCUUUCUACUGGGGCCCAGCCGAGGUUGGUGAAAGUGAUCAGUCCUCCUAUUAGAUUUGAAUAACACUGUAUCAUAUGAUGGGAUGCAUUGGAUGUUUCUGUUCAUUUUACAGUUAUAGCUAUAACAUCCCAUCUGCAUAUGAGCAACCUUGAAACACAAUCUGUAGUAGAAGCCCUAAUUUUGACAAUUACAGUCAGUUAGCAUGUACUUGUCGAAUACCAACCACAACCUGUCUAUGGGUUAUCCAUCAUAGCAAAUACAUUCCAAUGUUUCUUUCUUUCUUGACUUAUCCCUUCCACUGACACACACAUUCAGUCUCCGCUUUACGCAGGUUAACUUUCUUAUCUGACUCUUGAACCUUGAGUUACAUGGCAGUCUCAAGAGAUAACUAAGCCUACAUAUUCCACUUUUACGGCCCCAGACCCAUACCAUACAUCAAAACAUACACUGCCUUCCAUCCUAUUUCAGUUUUACUAAGAAAUGAUUCAACAUAAAACCAUAAAUGUAUGUUUUCCCUGGGAGAGUAUGUAUGGAAUAUAAACAGCACAAUAGGCCUAUCCACCAACAGCAGUAGUCAUAUACAUAUUGGGGAAAAGCCAGCAUGUUAUGUUUUAUCAGUUGAUGCUUAAUGGUAAAAUGGGGCUUUAUUAUUUGAGUUAUAAUAUAUGCAUGGGAAAAUAGAAAUGUGUCCUUUUCCAAUUGUAUUCCCAUAUAGAAUUAUUGGCCCUUUUCGUCCUCCUCCUCGUCUUGUAGAAUAGAUACAGUAUGUAGGGUAAUUGAUAUGCCUUAACAGAGGUCUUGAUUUGCAU